rnacentral:lncRNA from 1 species
GCUAACAUUGGCGUCUCCCUCUCCCAGGCCCUUUCCAGCCCAGCCCAGCCCCUCCCUGGCUCUCCCCACCUCCCCUGCCCUCUCCCCAGCCCACCCAGCAGAGCAGCCCAGGCUGGCAGUGGCCCUGCAGCAGUGCCCACUUCAGGGGGCUGCAGAGGUCUGGGCACUCGCACCACAGCCCCAGCCCCCUGUGCAGGCACAGCAGCUCCAGGGUGGCAGGGGUGUGUGUGUCAGCUGUCCCAUCAGCCUCCAAGCUGGAACAGACCCCACUGGCACAAGGACACAGAGGAUAGUGGCACUCUGUGUCCCUUGUUCUGGUGUCCAGGAGAGUCCCUACACCCAGGCUGCCUGCUGCCCCCCAKGCCAGCCCCUCUCUCCAGGACAGCACAAGAAUCCCUGCCCUGGGGGCUUUUCAGGCAGCUUCUGCCRCCCCAGGGACACAGCAGCCUGCCCUUAGUUGACCUACAUAGAAACAGAUUUCUCUUUCUCAUUUACUCCUCCUUGCCAGCACACAGUUGCUCCUUUCCUCUUUUCCAGGGACGUCCCUGCUCCCUGGAGAGACUUUCCGCAGGUGGGUGCAUCGGUGCUGGCCUGCUCGGCCAUUCCUGGACCCUCCCCUGUGCUCCCCACGGGGUCCCGAGCUGGCGGUGCUGCUCUGCAGAGCGAGUGGCUGUAGGGCAACAGGGCCACGGGGUGACUUCACACUGGCCGUGGUGGCCAGGAUGGGAAGCAGACCCAGCCAGACAGUCAUCAUUGUACCUGACAACCCCUACCAAGGGGUCUGUGGCCAUGGACGAUUCUCUGAGCAAUCACAGGGCAUUUCAAAUGGCUCAGGCUAGAUCCAGGCCAUGGUUUUUCAUUGAAGGUGACAUGAAAAACUCUCCAGGCUCUCUCCUCUGUGCCCACAGGGUCGACACUGCCUCUCAUGGGAUUGCAGAGCUCUCACUAGCCUGCAUUCAUUGGUUUUGCCCUUUACCUUUGGGUGACUCCACUUCAUUUUGUGAAGCUCCAUAUGCUGCCCACUCCCAAGCACAUGGUGUCCUUGGAAAUGCCCUGUGCUCUCCUGGGGGCUCCAUACCCCCUUUGAGAAGGACAGGCAUUGGUGUCCAGCCCUGA